CCGCGCUAGGCGGGGAAGUAGCGGUGCCCUGUAACCUGCAAACCGCUAUAGCAGGGCUGAAUUCCCGAUUGAGGUUCUUAGCUACGGCCGGGGAACCAGGAGGGAAAGCGUUGAGUUCCGGGUCUCAUGCAAUGGAGUGUUGUGAACCCGGUCAGGACCGGAAGGUAGCAGCCGUAAGCAAUUCCUCCAUGUGCCGUGAGGCAACCUGGAAGGAGCAGACUCUCCUGGGAAACCGUCCGUAAGCGGAGCCGAUUGAGGGUGCGCGG
rnacentral:SRP_RNA from 1 species